rnacentral:rRNA from 1 species
UAGGGAAUUUUGCACAAUGGGCGCAAGCCUGAUGCAGCAACGCCGCGUGAGUGAAGAAGGCUCUUGGGUCGUAAAGCUCUUUCGGCUGGGAAGAAGGGGUAUCCCGCGAAUAGUUGGGUAUUCUGACGGUACCAGAAGAAGAAGCACCUGCUAACUACGUGCCAGCAGCAGCGGUAAUACGUAGGGUGCAAGCGUUGUUCGGAAUUACUGGGCGUAAAGGGCGCGUAGGCGGGCCCGUGUGUCGAUUGUGAAAGCCCAGGGCUCAACCUUGGAAUUGCAGUCGAAACUGCGGGUCUUGAAUGCCUGAGGGGAUGGCGGAAUUACCGGUGUAGAAGUGAAAUUCGUAGAUAUCGGUAAGAACACCUGAGGCGAAGGCGGCUAUCUGGCGGUGCAUUGACGCUGAGGCGCGAAAGCGUGGGGAGCAAACAG